AUUGAACGCUGGCGGCAUGCCUUACACAUGCAAGUCGAACGGCAGCACGGGGCAACCUGGUGGCGAGUGGCGAACGGGUGAGUAAUGUAUCGGAACGUACCUUUCAGUGGGGGAUAACGUAGCGAAAGUUACGCUAAUACCGCAUAUUCUGUGAGCAGGAAAGCAGGGGAUCUUAGGACCUUGCGCUGAUUGAGCGGCCGAUAUCAGAUUAGCUAGUUGGUGAGGUAAAGGCUCACCAAGGCGACGAUCUGUAGCGGGUCUGAGAGGAUGAUCCGCCACACUGGAACUGAGACACGGUCCAGACUCCUACGGGAGGCAGCAGUGGGGAAUUUUGGACAAUGGGCGAAAGCCUGAUCCAGCCAUUCCGCGUGCAGGAUGAAGGCCCUCGGGUUGUAAACUGCUUUUGUACAGAACGAAAAGGUUUCUACUAAUACUAGGAGCUCAUGACGGUACUGUAAGAAUAAGCACCGGCUAACUACGUGCCAGCCGCCGCCGUAA
rnacentral:rRNA from 1 species